UAAAGCCCGGUUAACUGUUCCUCGCUGUGCAAAAUGAAGUGGCACUUUUACCCUUUCUGUUUCACUCAAUUACAAGUUCGCCAUUCUUCCACUCGCUUCUUACGCGACCCUUUUUUUUAGUCUGAUGGUGGUGUUUUAGAAUAGAAGAGACUGGAGCAGUGGAAGGCGAUAAUAUACUGUUGGAAUCGGGAGAGUCUGCAUUUUGUUUGGAUUGAUCUUGAAAGCUUCGCUAUCGAAGAUCGUUGGGAUAAGAAAAAGAAGAGGAGAGAUUGAAGAUUUUGGUCGACUUUUGGAGGAAGGUUUGGGUUUGUCUUCGAAGAGGUUGCUGGGUUUUCGAAGAGUUGUGUGUUUAAUUUGGGUAUAUCUUUGGUAACAUGAAAGAAAAUGUCAAAAUUGUUUGAACUUUAAACAUUUAGUAUUGAAAAAGAUAAAAUUUGAAAGGAAGCUAUUUCUGCAAUUUUGGUUUUAGUUUUGAGUUUAGGAUCAUUUUCUGGACUUUGCCCUCAAACUAAAUCUGUGAAUUUCAACUGGUGAGUUUUCUCUCCAAACUAUUUUGCCCCUUUGAUUAGUAAAAAUA